UUAACUCAAAUUUGUAUGGAGUUGGAACGUUUGCCAGGUUUGCCUGCGUUUGCCGCUAGGGGCGUUGUUCCAAUUGCAUACAAAAUUUUAAUUU
rnacentral:pre_miRNA from 1 species